CGGGUGGUAGCGCAGAGGUCGGCGCACCGUUUUCGCAGAACGGGGGACGCCGGUUCGAAUCCGGCCCGCCCGU
rnacentral:tRNA from 1 species